UACAGAGGCCACGAGCGUUAGGCGGAAUCACUGGGCUUAAAGCGUGUGUAGGCGGACUUCUAAGUACCUUGUGAAAUCCCACGGCUCACCCGUGGAACUGCUGGGUAUACUGGUCGUCUUGAGCCACCUAGGGGCGAGCGGAACAAAUGGUGGAGCGGUGAAAUGCGUAGAUAUCAUUUGGAACGCCAACGGUGAAAACAGCUCGCUGGGGGUGUGCUGACGCUGAGACACGAAAGCCAGGGUAGCGAACGGG
rnacentral:rRNA from 1 species